rnacentral:lncRNA from 1 species
ACAAACAAAAAGUUGUAUCACAAAGCAACACAAAAUUGGGGGAGGACGAUAUCUGCUUUUGAGAUAGAAAGCAUCUAUCUUUUGUCCCUUGUAAUCGAACCCGAAAAGAAUCACUUUAUGUCACUUUGUACACUAGAGUGUAGGCACAUUCUUUUUUAUCUUCACUGAAAUUGUUUGAUUAAAUCCUCUCUUCAAUGAGUUAUGUGUCUUUA